AAAAUCAGCAUACAGGUGUGUAAGUGGCCAUCUCUGCUUUCUUGGAGCUGAGUGAGAUUAUUCUCUGUGGUUGGGAAAAUCCACUGAAAUGCAUUUCUGCGAUGUGCUUAAGCUGCUGCAGUGGUGCAUGUGGUUGUCACCUGCCAUCUGAGGAGAGGAUUUGUAUCCAUUCCCAUCGGAACCACUUCCCCAGGUCCCCUGCUCCCAGGAGGCCUUGCACCCGGACUGAAUUCAAAUGAGAGGCUGUGGGAACUAUAUGAACCCUCUCAAAACAACAAACCAGCACAUAAACUUUGACUUGAACCCACCAGAACCACACUAAGUCACCCACUCUUGACCAGAGCCGGAUCCCGUCCUGGGAUAGUACCCAGCUUGGACAGUACCCAGCUUAGAGGAUACCCCUGGACUAUGGGCCAAUGUCGCCUUCCCCAGGACUCUGGUGAGGACGGAAGCCCCAGCUGUGCCGAAAGACAAAGCUGCACUCCUCAUCCUCAGCGUCAUCCAGAGGGAGCAGCGGCGGUGUGCCGACCCCUCGGGUUCCCCACCCAGAGCUGUCUUUAAUAAAGGCCUUUUUGAAGGA